rfam:Capsicum annuum cultivar Zunla-1 chromosome 7, whole genome shotgun sequence
UGAUGAUGGUAAGGGAAAUUACUGAGCAUACUUUUAAAUCUCUCCUAAGCUUGGUAAAGAUUCUCUCCUUUUUUCUGUCUAAAACUCAGAAUAUCACUUCUCAAGCG